AUUGAACGCUGGCGGCAGGCCUAACACAUGCAAGUCGAGCGAGUGGCGGACGGGUGAGUAAUGUCUGGGAAACUGCCUGAUGGAGGGGGAUAACUACUGGAAACGGUAGCUAAUACCGCAUACUAUCGGAUGUACCCAGAUGGGAUUAGCUAGUAGGUGGGGUAACGGCUCACCUAGGCGACGAUCCCUAGCUGGUCUGAGAGGAUGACCAGCCACACUGGGACUGAGACACGGUCCAGACUCCUACGGGAGGCAGCAGUGGGGAAUAUUGCACAAUGGGCGCAAGCCUGAUGCAGCCAUGCCGCGUGUAUGAAGAAGGCCUUCGGGUUGUAAAGUACUUUCAGCGGGGAGGCGUUACCCGCAGAAGAAGCACCUGCUAACUCCGUGCCAGCCGCCGCGUUAAUUC
rnacentral:rRNA from 1 species